GCCUUCAAAGUGUAGUGGUCAGCACGCUCGACGCGUAUUCGAGAGGUCCGUGGUUCGAGUCCCGGUGAGAGCA
rnacentral:tRNA from 1 species